GAAAACCCUGACAUCUGCAGAGGCUGCACCGCAGUAAAUGCUGAACGGCCACUUCGGAUUAACCAUGCAGCUUAGUGUGCAGUGGACAUGGAUGCUAUGGAACCCUGAACUAUUCACUGGAUGUGCUACCUGUCCCAGACCUGCUGUUUUCAACUCUCUAGAGACAGCAGGAGCGGUAGAGAUACUCUCAAAGAUCGGCUAUGAAAAAGCCAACUGACACUUACUCUUGUGUCACUGACUUGUUGCACCCUCGACAACUACUAUGAUUAUUAUUAUUUGACCAUGCUGGUCAUUUAUGAACAUUUGAACAUCUAGGCUAUGUGCUGUUAUAAUCUCCACCCGGCACAGCCAGAAGAGGACUGGCCACCCCUCAUAGCCUGGUUCCUCUCUAGGUUUCUUCCUGGGUUUUGGCCUUUCUAGGGAGUUUUUCCUAGCCACCGUGCUUCUACACCUGCAUUGCUUGCUGUUUGGGGUUUUAGGCUGGGUUUCUGUACAGCGCUUUGAGAUAUCAGCUGAUGUAAGAAGGGCUAUAUAAAUAAAUUUGAUUUGAUGAUUCUGUCAUCAUGAAGUUCUUUGAGAGACUAGUCAUGGACCAUAUCACCUCCACCCUACCUGAUAACCUAGACCCAAUCUAAU
rnacentral:lncRNA from 1 species